rnacentral:rRNA from 1 species
AAGCGUGGGGAGCGAACAGGAUUAGAUACCCUGGUAGUCCACGCCGUAAACGAUGCUCACUCGCUGUUUGCGAUACACAGCAAGCGGCCAAGCGAAAGCAUUAAGUGAGCCACCUGGGGAGUACGAUCGCAAGGUUGAAACUCAAAGGAAUUGACGGGGGCCCGCACAAGCGGAGGAGCAUGUGGUUUAAUUCGAUGAUACGCGAGGAACCUUACCUGGGCUUAAAUGUAGAGCGACAGCUUGUGAAAGCAGGCUUUCUUCGGACGAUCUACAAGGUGCUGCAUGGUUGUCGUCAGCUCGUGCCGUGAGGUGUCGGGUUAAGUCCCAUAACGAGCGCAACCCUUAUCGUUAGUUGCCAGCGGGUCAAGCCGGGGACUCUAGCGAGACUGCCACCGUAAGGUGUGAGGAAGGUGGGGAUGACGUCAAAUCAGCACGGCCCUUAUGUCCAGGGCUACACACGUGUUACAAUGGCCGAUACAAAGGGCAGCUACCAGGUGACUGGAUGCUAAUCUCUAAAGUCGGUCUCAGUUCGGAUCGAAGUCUGCAACUCGACUUCGUGAAGCUGGAUUCGCUAGUAAUCGCGCAUCAGCCAUGGCGCGGUGAAUACGUUCCCGGGCCUUGUACACACCGCCCGUCAAACAAUGGA